rnacentral:rRNA from 1 species
UACGAAGGGGACUAGCGUUGCUCGGAAUCACUGGGCGUAAAGGGUGCGUAGGCGGGUUUUAAGUCAGAGGUGAAAUCCUGGAGCUCAACUCCAGAACUGCCUUUGAUACUGAAAGUCUUGAGUAUGGGAGAGGUGAGUGGAACUGCGAGUGUAGAGGUGAAAUUCGUAGAUAUUCGCAAGAACACCAGUGGCGAAGGCGGCUCACUGGCCCAUAACUGACGCUGAGGCACGAAAGCGUGGGGAGCAAACAGG